CACACUAAUGCACACUAUCCCCACGUGGAGAAGCAUGGCGAAAGGACGACGACUGACAAUUUAUCCAAAGAUUGGAAUUAUUAUUUUGGAAAAAGACGAGGGACUUCUGGUGGAAGAUUCACUCUGUGUGACACGAGGACAAAAACUGGCAGAGAAACACAGGAACACGUCUAACGCGCUCAGUUUCACGACCACCAUUCAGUGCAGUUCAGGGAGAUAAAGCAGUGCUGGAUCAUCAGCCCACAGUCUCAGAGGAUUCAGCCACAGUCUUCACCUGCAUCCAUUUAUUUGUGCUCAGAUGUUUGAGAAUUGCCUUAACACUCACUUGUACUCGAUGU